AUUGAACGCUGGCGGCAGGCCUAACACAUGCAAGUCGAGCGGAUGACGGGAGCUUGCUCCUUGAUUCAGCGGCGGACGGGUGAGUAAUGCCUAGGAAUCUGCCUGGUAGUGGUGGACAACGUUUCGAAAGGAACGCUAAUACCGCAUACGUCCUACGGGAGAAAGCAGGGGACCUUCGGGCCUUGCGCUAUCAGAUGAGCCUAGGUCGGGUUAGCUAGUAGGUUGGGUAAGGGCUCACCUAGGCGACGAUCCGUAACUGGUCUGAGAGGAUGAUCAGUCAAACUGGAACUGAGACACGGUCCAGACUCCUACGGGAGGCAGCAGUGGGGAAUAUUGGACAAUGGGCGAAAGCCUGAUCCAGCCAUGCCGCGUGUGUGAAGAAGGUCUUCGGAUUGUAAAGCACUUUAAGUUGGGAGGAAGGGCAGUAAGCUAAUACCUUGCUGUUUGGACGUUACCGACAGAAUAAGCACCGGCUAACUCUGUGCCAGCCGCCGCCGUAAGAC
rnacentral:rRNA from 1 species